CAAUAGCGUAUAUUAAAGUUGUUGCAGUUAAAAAGCUCGUAGUUGGAUUUCUGGUGGGAGCGAUCGGUCUGGCGCUUAGCGCGAGUACUUGCAUCGUCUCCGGCCAUUCUUGGGGAGAGUCUGUCUGGCAUUAGGUUGUCGGGCAGAGGAUCCUCAUCGUUUACUGUGAAAAAAUUAGAGUGUUCAAAGCAGGCUUAUGCCGUUGAAUAUGUUAGCAUGGAAUAAUAAGAUAGGACUUUGGUACUAUUUUGUUGGUUUGCGCACCAAAGUAAUGAUUAAUAGGGACAGUUGGGGGUAUUCGUAUUCCGUUGUCAGAGGUGAAAUUCUUGGAUUUACGGAAGACGAACUACUGCGAAAGCAUUUACCAAGGAUGUUUUCAUUAA
rnacentral:rRNA from 1 species